UCAUCCGCGUCACGAUGUCGACUUGGAGGUUGUGCCCUUGAGGCGUGGCUUCCGGACGCUAACGCGUUAAGUCGACCGCCUGGGGAGUACGGCGCAAGGUUAAAACUCAAAUGAAUUGACGGGGGGCCCGCACAAGCGGUGGAGCAUGUGGUUUAAUUCGAUGCAACGCGACGAACCUUACCUACUCUUGACAUCCCGAGCACUUCCAGAGACUGGAUGGUGCCUUCGGGAACUCUGAGACAGGUGCUGCAUGGCUGUCGUCAGCAUCGUGUAGUGCCACUGUAGGGUUAAGUCCCGCAACGAGCGCAACCCUUAUCCUUUGUUGACCAGCGGUCCGGACGGGAACUCAAAGGAGACUGACAGUGACUAACUGGAGGAAGGUGGGGCUGAAGUCAAGUCCUCAUGGCCCUUACGAGUACGGGCUAACACACGUUGCUACAAAUGGCGCAAUACAAAGAGAAGAGCCCUCACGCGAGACAGACGGAACUCAUAAAGUGCGUCAUCAUACCGGCUUGGCGUCUGCAACAUCGACUCCAUGAAGUCGGAAAUCGAUAGAAAUAGUAGAUUCAGCAAUGAUAACGGAGAAUAC
rnacentral:rRNA from 1 species